AUGACAGUUUCUGCAGUAUUUUUUUUUUUAAUGUUGGCUUUUCCCUUCUUUAUUUUUCUCUUGGUUUUGGUUUAUGCUUUGUUUUUGUUUGUUUUGCUUUGUUUACAUUUUCAUUACGAUGACAUAACCCCAUUUGUCCUGGCAGUACUGCGCAACUGACUCAUCUGAGAGCUGCUGCCAGUUGUCCUUUGGUAGCCUGGGACUGGUCCCCACGGAGCAUCCCUCCCUUCCAUUGGGGGUUUCCCUUCCAGUGGUUCACAUGCUGUUUGCUGUGAGCAGAAAGCAUCCAAAUCUGUCCCACUGUUUGCUUUCAGAGGUCAGCUGAUUUUUAGUCUGACUCACAGAAAGUUUUUAGAUCGUCUUUAGCUCACAUCUUGUCUUCCCAGUGAGCACCUCAGUUGGAAUGGUCAGUGUUGAUUUGGCGUUUUCUAGCUCCAUUACUUGUAAAGGAAAAUGGAACAACUUGCCUUAUGCAAAGGGAUAUGCCAUAUGCAAAGAGCUAUAACCACUCAAGCCACAACCUGGGGUCUUUACUCCUGCAAAAGCAAGUUUGUUAAAUCUCUUCCUUGCGGAGCUUCUCCAUCCAAAACUAUUGCCUAGGAAUCCCUCCCGCCCCCCCCCCCCCCCCUCUGUCUCUUGUUCUCACUCAGCCAUACUGCACUUGGUUGGGAAAUUGAGAUUUUUGCCCUAGCCCUCCAUCACUCAAAAGGAGGAGCUGCUGCCAAUGUGAUCUUCAAAAGGGCUUUACUCCUUGGAAUGGAAAAAAUGAAUUUGCCUUCAGAACAGGCUGCACAGAUACUUAAAAUGUGCUGUGUGAUCUCAUACAUGUGGGUGAGGAUGCUGAGUGAUGUUUUGUUCAGAGUGGCAUAUAUCCUUCCACUUCUCUGUUGUGCACAAUUUAUCAAAUCUAGCAGGGAAGCAUGUCACGCAUGUGGAAAAGGCUGGAGGCUGUUUGUUAUGGAGACUUUUCUCAGAUUUUCUUUAUCUUUGCAACAUCUUAAAUCUGUCUUAAGGGAGAGCGAUGCCUACAGAUUGAAUGGAGGACAUUUUCCCUUGUCUACGCAUUAG
rnacentral:lncRNA from 1 species